rnacentral:rRNA from 1 species
GACGAACGCUGGCGGCGUGCCUAAUACAUGCAAGUUGAGCGCUGAAGGUUGGUACUUGUCCCAACUGGAUGAGCAGCGAACGGGUGAGUAACGCGUGGGGAAUCUGCCUUUGAGCGGGGGACAACAUUUGGAAACGAAUGCUAAUACCGCAUAAAAACUUUAAACACAAGUUUUAAGUUUGAAAGAUGCAAUUGCAUCACUCAAAGAUGAUCCCGCGUUGUAUUAGCUAGUUGGUGAGGUAAAGGCUCACCAAGGCGAUGAUACAUAGCCGACCUGAGAGGGUGAUCGGCCACAUUGGGACUGAGACACGGCCCAAACUCCUACGGGAGGCAGCAGUAGGGAAUCUUCGGCAAUGGACGAAAGUCUGACCGAGCAACGCCGCGGGAGUGAAGAAGGUUUUCGGAUCGUAAAACUCUGUUGGUAGAGAAGAACGUUGGUGAGAGCGGAAAGCUCAUCAAGUGACGGUAACUACCCAGAAAGGGACGGCUAACUACGUG